CAUUCAAACACCAGUUCUCAUAUGAUCACUGAAGUUAAGCAGUGUCAAGCCUGGUCAGUACCUAGAUGGGUGAAUAUUUGGGAAUACCAGAUGCUGUAAG